AGGCGAACCGGGGGAACUGAAACAUCUAAGUACCCCGAGGAAAAGAAAUCAACCGAGAUUCCCCCAGUAGCGGCGAGCGAACGGGGAGGAGCCCAGAGCCUGAAUCAGCAUGUGUGUUAGUGGAAGCGUCUGGAAAGGCGCGCGAUACAGGGUGACAGCCCCGUACACAAAAGCGCAUGUGCUGUGAGCUCGAUGAGUAGGGCGGGACACGUGGUAUCCUGUCUGAAUAUGGGGGGACCAUCCUCCAAGGCUAAAUACUCCUGACUGACCGAUAGUGAACCAGUACCGUGAGGGAAAGGCGAAAAGAACCCCGGCGAGGGGAGUGAAAAAGAACCUGAAACCGUGUACGUACAAGCAGUGGGAGCACCCUUUGGGGUGUGACUGCGUACCUUUUGUAUAAUGGGUCAGCGACUUAUAUUCUGUAGCAAGGUUAACCGUAUAGGGGAGCCGGAGGGAAACCGAGUCUUAAUUGGGCGUUAAGUUGCAGGGUAUAGACCCGAAACCCGGUGAUCUAGCCAUGGGCAGGUUGAAGGUUGGGUAACACUAACUGGAGGACCGAACCGACUAAUGUUGAAAAAUUAGCGGAUGACCUGUGGCUGGGGGUGAAAGGCCAAUCAAACCGGGAGAUAGCUGGUUCUCCCCGAAAGCUAUUUAGGUAGCGCCUCGUGAAUUCAUCUCCGGGGGUAGAGCACUGUUUCGGCUAGGGGGCCAUCCCGGCUUACCAACCCGAUGCAAACUGCGAAUACCGGAGAAUGUUAUCACGGGAGACACACGGCGGGUGCUAACGUCCGUCGUGAAGAGGGAAACAACCCAGACCGCCAGCUAAGGUCCCAAAGUCAUGGUUAAGUGGGAAACGAUGUGGGAAGGCCCAGACAGCCAGGAUGUUGGCUUAGAAGCAGCCAUCAUUUAAAGAAAGCGUAAUAGCUCACUGGUCGAGUCGGCCUGCGCGGAAGAUGUAACGGGGCUAAACCAU
rnacentral:rRNA from 1 species